UCGUGAGACUGUAACAAGAAAAUUUAUUCGGUAUAUGGUGACAUUCACCAGUUUAAGAAGGUAGGUUGACAGAAGUAUCAGCCAGGUGCCCGACCCCAGAUGCACAAACAAACCGGCUCGUUUAGGGCCGAUGACUAUUGUGGGUGUAGUUGAUAAGUCACCGUUCUCUCUCUCUUGAGAAAAUCUAAUGUACGCUUUACAUAAGCGGCUGAAUUAGUAACGAUUCUGAUGGGAUCAUUUAUUGAAAUUAUAGCUAAGUAAUAUAGACAUACAGACAGACGGUCGGACAAAUAUGUAGAUAUUUCUUGGAAACCUGUGAGAUCCUAGUCACCUGCUGAUGUCAUUCAACAUUUUCCAACAACCUAGACAUCAUACAACACAUGGAUAGCUGUCUUUCUACAUGGAUGUGGAACUGAAGUGCGUAUGUAAUUACUACGCUCUGUUAGCCAAGCUGAUUUAAAUAGUCCAGGUGUUUAAGUAGGAGUUUUUCACACCAAUGUCUCUUUUUCUUAGAAGGUUAUAUAUUAAGUUCCAUCUUAUAAAAAAAGCAAAUCAUCCCCGAUCAAAGCAAGGAAAACUGGAUGCAAGGCUAUUGGAAAUUUGGGAUAUACUGUGAGAUUAGUACAAGGAAAAAGCAACUAAGGACAUACACUCCAAUCUACUGA